AUUCAGCUGACGAGUUCCAAAUAGGACAAAAUGCACGUCUUGGAU
rnacentral:hammerhead_ribozyme from 1 species